GUGGCACCAAACAAAUGAAAAACGACAGCACAAGCGCAACAUUAACCUCCGCGGAGACGGAGAAGGGCUGUUGUCUCGACAUGAACCGCCAACGACCGUGGAUGGAUUCCGUCUCCCUCGCAAAAUAUGCACUUCCUGAGGGGCUCAAUUACAGACCACAUCAGUUCGGAGGAGGGCUGAUUCGCAGACUGUUAAAUAGCCACGAAGCUCAUUGCCAUGAGCGGCAGGCGUCGCCCUUCUCAGCCAAAAGAUGUUUGCUGCAAGAGGCGUGUGCGUUCCGUGCGCGCGCCAGCCGCAAGGGUCCGCGUGUAACCGUGCGUGAAUGUGCGGGAGGAAGCGAAAGAGAGAGAGCGAGAGACAGAGUCCGAGUCCCCGAGACGGAGCAUGCCGCUGCGUCCGGCAGCCGGCAAACAUGAGCCAGGCAGCCCUCCUCGGCAGGACCACCACCACCAGGAGCAGCAGCAGCAGCAGCAGCAGCAGCAGCAGCAACAGCAGCGGCAGCGGCGGCGGCGGCAGCAUCAGUGCGCGCACGCCCCCCCGCGCGCGCACUCCCCU